rnacentral:tRNA from 1 species
GCUCCUGUAGCUUAGUGGUUAAGCUCAGUGUAUGCACGCGGGCGUCGUGGGUUCGAGUCACACCAGGAGCA